rnacentral:rRNA from 1 species
UACGAAGGGGGGCUAGCGUUGCUCGGAAUCACUGGGCGUAAAGCGCACGUAGGCGGCUUUUUAAGUCAGGGGUGAAAUCCUGGAGCUCAACUCCAGAACUGCCUUUGAUACUGAAGAUCUUGAGUUCGGGAGAGGUGAGUGGAACUGCGAGUGUAGAGGUGAAAUUCGUAGAUAUUCGCAAGAACACCAGUGGCGAAGGCGGCUCACUGGCCCGAUACUGACGCUGAGGCACGAAAGCGUGGGGAGCAAACAGG